GGCACUGCCCCCGGUGAGUGAGGGUGCGGCAGCCCCUGGCUCGUGCCUGGCCGUGCCCUGACCCUCCGCACCCACCCGCAGGAGCU
rnacentral:pre_miRNA from 1 species